rnacentral:lncRNA from 1 species
CCAGCAGACUGAGCUUGCUGUGGUCUUGGUUCUGGUUACCGUAUCCAGCCUCCUCUCAGACUGGGAGGGGCCAGCAGGAAAUGUGAGACCCUUAGUCUCUCAAGCCCUCUCAUCAGAGCCUCUCUGCUUACUAGUUGAUUGUCCUUGGGCUUGUCAAUUGGCCACAAUUUACACCCUUUUCCUAAUCUGUGAAAUGGGUCCAUGUGUGGAUUCCAUGAAGUGAAAUGGAUCUUCUGCAUUAGAUUCUAGCCCACUUUCAUAGAUGGGUCACGUACAUGUAUAUGCAUAGGUACACUUUGUGUGUGUGUGUGUGUGUGUGUGUGUAUGUGUGUGUAUGUAGGUAAAAUUUCCUGAGCAAACUGAAAACAACUUCUCUCCAGGUGUCUGGGGCCCCAGAACUUGCCUCACUAGAAAACCAGAGCCUGUGACCUCAGUGUGCUGGAUGGGGGGUUAGUCAUGGGCAUAAAGCCUGGCAGAGCAUGACUUUGGUUUCAUUCCACUUGCUCUGGUUUCAUCUGGCAGCAUGGGAAGCAAAGUUGCUCUUGGACUUUAGGAGGCAUCUCCUGGUCAGAGGAUGGCACACCUUAGUCAAGAGGUUCCUCUGACCAGGGCUUGUGGCCCUUGACAGGCCAUUUCACCUCUGUGGCCUCCCGGUGGGCACCCAGUGGAAGCUAUGGCAACAUGAAAGCCCUUGGGAAGGAUUACGAGCAAGACCAAAGUUACCCUGUAGCUGUGGAUCUCUUUUGGAAGCGGAUGAUGUGUCAGUUAUUAAUAAAGGAGAUGCAAAAUUUCGAUUCGGCUUUUCAUGCCCAGUCGCAUCCUGGGCAGCACAGUGAGCUGCAGGGGAUAGUCUCCCGUGUCUCCUGGACCUGAAUCUUCAGACCUCUGCUUCACAAGAGUUGCCAGAGCUUUUGCUUUUCGAGGAAAAAUCCUGCCUUCAGACCCCCUGGGCUUGACGGGGAGAGAACUUUUACUUUGCCAAGCCAUGAGGGCAGAGGGGCUGUCCUUCUAAGGGAUUGCUAAGUUAGGGGGAUGUAUAUUUCUAGCUCCCCUCAUAAUGGGGACGCCUGCCUGUGAUAAGGCAGAGAUGGAGAGAUGAAGACCAAAACAAAAACAAAAACCUGGAUCAAGCUAUGCCUGAAGCCAUAUCCUCAGACAUCUCAAUUGCAUGAACAUCCCUUACCACUAGAACCACUCUCUCCUUUUUCUAACAGAAGAUGAUUACUAGCUGAAAGCAUCUAGAUUACUAUUAGUACCUUUAUAGAUUAAGUAGCAUGUGGACCUGUUCUUCCAUCCAUCACAGGCUACUGCUCUGUUAAGCCCUGGGACAGGCGCCAGGGGUACAAGAAUAAAUUAUUACAUCCUCAGUUAGGGCCUCGGCCAACUGAGGGGCAGAGCUGAGACAAAUACAUGCUGCCCCAGGCUGAGUACAAGGGGCAGUUUGAUUAAGGGAAAAACUGACUCAGGGAGGGCUUCCCAGAGGAGGUGACACAUGCCUUGAAUUUGAGAGAAGGACAGGGUUUUGUCUGAGAAGGAAGAGAGCAUGUAGGCACAGGCCCAGAAGCUGACAGAAUAUGGAUUGUGGGAAGAAACAGCAAGCAAAGAGCUGGCAGCCUGGCUGGUCCUGUGCAGGGGCGGGGAGACGACAGCUGCAGCCCUCCACCCCAGUCCCUGCAUGGGCCCCAGGGCCAGCCCUUCUCACUCUGUCUCUGCUUGGAACGCUGGCAGGAAGAGAUUGCAGGGGACUGGGGAAGACACGCAUGGUUGAGAGCAGCACGAAAAAGGGGAUAAAGCCAUUUUCCUUCCAGCUCCGAAUGAUAAAAAAAUGACUUUCCUCCUGCACAAGAUGGACUUCCUGCAGCCGGAAAGAAAAAUAUUAAUGCCAUGUUUUGGGUUGCCUUGCCUGCGCUAAGCAGGGCCAGAGCAGUCCUGUGUGCUCAUAGCUGGCCUGGCUGUCCUCGGCAGCACAGGGACUGUCCCGCCGGCCAGCCCUGGGCCCCGGGCCUCCGUGUCCAGGCUGGAGCAAGUUGGCUCCAUUGCAGCUUUCCAAAUAAAGUGGUUUUUAUUUCAUAUUCACCAGAGAGGUUACAGAAUAUAAUUGGGAUUGCUGCUUCUCAUAUUAUUUAUGCAAUUCUCCCCCGGCUCCCUUCCCAAAAGCAACUCACAAAGGGGGUCUUUGUUCUCUGCAAGUUCAAAGUCAGCUCCUCCAGCGGGAGACGAAUGGGCGAUUACAAGGAGGAGGCUGAGUUUUACUGGCUGUCAGACCAGAAAUAUGGGAUGCAUCAGGGUUCAGGCAGGAGGCAGGGAAAGUUCGGGCUGCGGGCUGCAGGAGUUGGUGUGAAUGGAUUCCCAGUGUGCAAGCCCCAAAGUGGGGUUGCAGGGGUUGGGGGGUAACAGUGGGGGCAGCCCAUGUCUGCUUCUCUGCUGAGGAGGCUCAGCACACACUCUGCCUCCAAGGCCUUGAUUUCCUGACCUGUAGAGCAGAGCACCAGGACUCUGGACUGAAAAUAAGUCAGAGGGUUUCAUCCCCUUCCUUGGAGCUUCGAGCCUCUGCUGAGGGUAGAGGGUCUCAGAACAGAGUGGGCAGGACUCGGAGCACCAUGCCCACUUUUGCCCUUCUGAAGUUUUGACUGAUUGAAUCAAGGUCCUGGUCAGAUACAUUUAAGGAGAAGUUUGUCCAUUGAAAGUUUGCCAAGGGUUGACCUGGAUGACCUUGGAGGCCUGGGCCCCAGAAGGUGAUGGGGGUUGGAGGCUCAGAGCCUGGGAUCCCGUGCAGCCAUGUUAAGCUGGGUGGCUAGGUUUUUUUGGGCGGUCAUGUCCCUCUAGAAAGCGGAGAACAGCCGCCCGAGAGGCAUUGAGAUCAGGGCUGGGAGACCGUGGUGCCGGGGUGAGGGAUGAGCAGAGAUGUUUGACUGCCCCACUAGGAAGCCUACUAAUGGGCCCCGCAUGGGUUGGAGCGCUUGCUUAUGGUGCUGCAUCCCUCUGUGGCACAGCCCAUCACUCUCACUGACAGUAGGAGUGACAGGGCCUUAGCCCCUUGGGCCUGGGGCUGUGACUCUGGCUCUCUCUGUAGGGGACACUCCAGCUUGGAGCACCUUGCAAUGGGGAGCUCUUUCCGGCAUCCUGGAGGAAACACUGAGUAGGCAGUCCUUCCAGAACCUCAGCUCGGCUUGGUUCAGUUGGCCUUGGGUGGGGCAGCCCACAGGGACCCGGUUUGCCAGGCUUGCUGGGGGCCCAGAACAUAGCAGGCCCGCAAGGGGCCUUGGCUAGGAUGGCCCAACUUCCUUGGCCACAAAGCUGUUCCAGGACCCAAGCCUGGUUGGGAGUCCUCAAGGCCACGGCCCUGCCUGAAGCUGUCCCCAAGACCCAUUUCCUGGUACCUGGCCUCUUCUGUCUCCCCUGGGGUAGCCUGGCAGGCCUGGCCACCAGACCCCAGAGCCCCAACCUUCCAGCUUUCGUUCUAGCAAUGAGAUAGCCUUGGAAUUUGGGGGUGGGUUAAGGGAAGAGGUGUCCCAGCCUCUGUCCCCACCAUGGGGCUCUUCUCCAUUCUGGGGAGGGAGCAGUUGGAGUGAGGGUGAGGGACACCUGCACCCCUGCCCCCUUUUGCAAGGAGCCAGUGCCCCAUUUGGGAAGCCUGUGAUGGGUUUGUGCAGCUCCAGGGCCUUGCUGGGGCAGGGCAGGGCACUGGAGGUGGAAGUAGGAAGGGCUUUGGAACAACAACCUGCCUCCUCCCUAAGGUCUAGUGAAGAGAGGGCCCCAUGUGAGCUCUGUGCAAACUAGGAGAUGGAACAUCCCUUGGAGGCCCUCCCACCCGGCUCCAGGAUUCCAUGUCUCCCCAGACCACUGACCUAGGCUUUGCAGGCAGAGUACAAGCCAGGUCCCAGUGGAGGCUGACCUGAAGGCCCCCACCAGGGCCAAGGGCUUUACAGAAAUGGCACUUCCUGUGGCUGCAGUCUGCUUUCUCGGUGGCCUCACUGUUACCGCUGCUGCUAGCCAUUGAACUCACUGAUAAACACUGACUCUGGGAGAUGAGACAUGGCACCCUGGAGAAAUUCAGGCUAGAUGUUUGGCUAAACCACAUCUUGGUGGCCUUUGCCUAUACCGUUGUGCAGGAAAGCGCGAUUUCUGCAAUAGAGGUUUCCCCUGUCGACAGAAAGAUAGGGGAGGAGUGGCAGGUGUUUUUUGAGAUCAGAGGUCCCCGUCCAUCCCCAGACACAGUGCGCUGGGGCAGGCCCACCCUUGAGGUGCUCUGAUCUACCACAGAGGUUGAAUCAUGAAUCUCACCAUUUUACAGAUGAGGAAAACAAGGUUCCCAAAGCCAGGAGGGCUUAGGAGAGAGGCUGCAGGUCAUGCUGGGGCCUGCUGGCUCCAAUCCCAGGCUGUCUUGACCAUGCAAUAGGGCAGGAUACACAUUCCACACUUUGCAGGGAGCAAGCAUCAUGCCAGGCACUUCACCUAUGUCACCCAUUCAAUCCUUGAGCUAAGUUUGGAUCAAAUCUCGACCCAUUUUACAGAUGAGAAACUGAGGUUCAGACUUCCCACUUUGGCUCAGUGGUUAAGAACCAGAUAUCGUUUCCAUGAGGAUGCAGGUUUUAUCUCUGGCCCCUCUCAGUGGGUUAAAGAUCUGGUGUUGCCACAAGCUGCAGUGUAAUUUGCAGAUGUGGUUGGGAUCCAGUGUUGCUGUUGCUGUGGCGUAGGCCUCA